rnacentral:rRNA from 1 species
CCAGACUCCUACGGGAGGCAGCAGUGGGGAAUAUUGCACAAUGGGGGAAACCCUGAUGCAGCGACGCCGCGUGGGCGACGAAGCGCUCCGGCGCGUAAAGCCCUGUCAGCAGGGAAGAACAAAGACGGUACCUGACUAAGAAGCCCCGGCUAACUACGUGCCAGCAGCCGCGGUAAUACGUAGGGGGCGAGCGUUAUCCGGAUUCACUGGGUGUAAAGGGAGCGUAGACGGCCAAGCAAGCCAGGGGUGAAAGCCCGGGGCCCAACCCCGGGACUGCCCUUGGAACUGCAUGGCUGGAGUGCGGGAGGGGCAGGCGGAAUUCCUGGUGUAGCGGUGAAAUGCGUAGAUAUCAGGAGGAACACCGGCGGCGAAGGCGGCCUGCUGGACCGCGACUGACGUUGAGGCUCGAAAGCGUGGGGAGCGAACAGGAUUAGAUACCCUCGUAAA